UGGGGAAUAUUGGACAAUGGGGGCAACCCUGAUCCAGCAAUGCCGCGUGUGUGAAGAAGGCCUGAGGGUUGUAAAGCACUUUCAGUGGGGAGGAGGAUUGACAGGUUAAGAGCUAGUCAAUUGGACGUUACCCACAGAAGAAGCACCGGCUAACUCCGUGCCAGCAGCCGCGGUAAUACGGAGGGUGCGAGCGUUAAUCGGAAUUACUGGGCGUAAAGGGUGCGUAGGUGGUUUGGUAAGUUAUCUGUGAAAUUCCUGGGCUUAACCUGGGACGGUCAGAUAAUACUGCUGAACUCGAGUGUGGGAGAGGGUAGUGGAAUUUCCGGUGUAGCGGUGAAAUGCGUAGAGAUCGGAAGGAACACCAGUGGCGAAGGCGGCUACCUGGCCCAACACUGACACUGAGGCACGAAAGCGUGGGGAGCAAACA
rnacentral:rRNA from 1 species